CAGUAGCCGCGGUAAUACGAAGGGUGCAAGCGUUAAUCGGAAUUACUGGGCGUAAAGCGUGCGUAGGCGGUGAGUUAAGUCUGCUGUGAAAUCCCCGGGCUCAACCUGGGAAUGGCAGUGGAUACUGGCUCGCUAGAGUGUGUCAGAGGAUGGUGGGAUUCCCGGUGUAGCGGUGAAAUGCGUAGAGAUCGGGAGGAACACCGAUGGCGAAGGCAGCCCCCUGGGCCAAUACUGACGCUCAUGCGCGAAAGCGUGGGGAGCAAACAGGAUUAGAUACCCGCGUAGUCCCUGUCUCUUAUAC
rnacentral:rRNA from 1 species